rnacentral:sRNA from 1 species
UUCAGCCUCCAAAUAUUU